rnacentral:rRNA from 1 species
CCUGACUGCUAUCGGAUUGAUACUAAGCCAUGCGAGUCAUUGCAGUAAUGCAAGGCAGACGGCUCAGUAACGCGUAGUCAACCUACCCUAUGGACGGGAAUAACCUCGGGAAACUGAGUAUAAUGCCCGAUAGAACACUAUACCUGGAAUGGUUUGUGUUCCAAAUGAAUGUCGCCGUAGGAUGGGACUGCGGCCUAUCAGUUUGUUGGUGAGGUAAUGGCCCACCAAGACUAUUACAGGUACGGGCUCUGAGAGGAGUAGCCCGGAGAUGGGUACUGAGACACGGACCCAGGCCCUAUGGGGCGCAGCAGGCGAGAAAACUUUGCAAUGUGCGAAAGCACGACAAGGUUAAUCCGAGUGGUUUGUGCUAAACGAACCUUUUGACAGUCCUAGAAACACUGUUGAAUAAGGGGUGGGCAAGUUCUGGUGUCAGCCGCCGCGGUAAAACCAGCACCUCAAGUGGUCAGGAUGAUUAUUGGGCCUAAAGCAUCCGUAGCCGGCUCUGUAAGUUUUCGGUUAAAUCUGUACGCUCAACGUACAGGCUGCCGGGAAUACUGCAGAGCUAGGGAGUGGGAGAGGUAGACGGUACUCGGUAGGAAGGGGUAAAAUCCUUUGAUCUAUUGAUGACCACCUGUGGCGAAAGCGGUCUACCAGAACACGUCCGACGGUGAGGGAUGAAAGCUGGGGGAGCAAACCGGAUUAGAUACCCGGGUAGUCCCAGCUGUAACUAUGCAAACUCAGUGAUGCAU